AGUGAACGCUGGCGGUAGGCCUAACACAUGCAAGUCGAACGGCAGCACAGUAAGAGCUUGCUCUUACGGGUGGCGAGUGGCGGACGGGUGAGGAAUACAUCGGAAUCUACUUGUUCGUGGGGGAUAACGUAGGGAAACUUACGCUAAUACCGCAUACGACCUACGGGUGAAAGCAUGGGAUCUUCGGACCUUGCGCGAUCGAAUGAGCCGAUGUCGGAUUAGCUAGUUGGUGGGGUAAAGGCCCACCAAGGCGACGAUCCGUAGCUGGUCUGAGAGGAUGAUCAGCCACACUGGAACUGAGACACGGUCCAGACUCCUACGGGAGGCAGCAGUGGGGAAUAUUGGACAAUGGGCGCAAGCCUGAUCCAGCCAUACCGCGUGGGUGAAGAAGGCCUUCGGGUUGUAAAGCCCUUUUGUUGGGAAAGAAAAGCAGCAGGUUAAUACCCCGCUGUUCUGACGGUACCCAAAGAAUAAGCACCGGCUAACUUCGUG
rnacentral:rRNA from 1 species